rnacentral:rRNA from 1 species
AGCGCCACAAGUGGCAAUCCUGUUUAUUGGGCCUAAAGCGUUCGUAGCCGGUUUGAUAAAUUCUCUGUGAAAUUGUAUUGCUUAACUUUACAACGUGCUGGGAAGACUGUCAAACUAGAGACCGGGAGGAGCUUGGAGUAUUCUUGGGGGAGCGGUAAAAUGUUAUAAUCCCUUGAAGACUACCUGUGGCGAAGGCGCCAAGCUAGAACGGUUCUGACGGUGAGGGACGAAAGCCAGGGGAGCGAUCC